GCGUUGUACGAAGCCGCUCCUCUAUCAAUUUCACCUUGUAUAAAGCAUAUUGCACCAAGUCUAUACCCAAAAUCCAAGCCUCAUUCUUCUCAAACCAACCGAUCGUAAAUCUAUAUCGUCUUCCAUACAAAGCCUCAUAUGGAGCCAUUUGAAUACUCAAUUGAUAGUUGUUGUUGUUAUAAGCAAACUCUGCGAGCGGUAGAAACUGAUUCUAUGACCCUCCAAAAUCAAUAACACAAGCUUGCAACAUGUCCUCUAAUAUCUGAAUAGUGUGCUCAGACUGCC
rnacentral:lncRNA from 1 species